AUACGUAGGUGGCAAGCGUUGUCCGGAUUUACUGGGCGUAAAGGGCGCGCAGGCGGCCCAUCAAGUCCGGGGUGAAAGCUCCCGGCUCAACCGGGAGAGGUCUCCGGAAACUGAUGGGCUUGAGGGGAGCAGAGGAGAGCGGAAUUCCUGGUGUAGCGGUGAUAUGCGUAGAUAUCGGGAGGAACACCAGUGGCGAAGGCGGCUCUCUGGGCUCUCCCUGACGCUGAGGCGCGAAAGCGUGGGGAGCAAACCGGAUUAGAAACCCCAGUAGUCC
rnacentral:rRNA from 1 species